rnacentral:siRNA from 1 species
CUGAAGAAAUCAAAGUGAGU